GAGAUUUAGCUCAGCUGGGAGAGCAUCUGCCUUACAAGCAGAGGGUCGGGGGUUCGAUCCCCUCAAUCUCC
rnacentral:tRNA from 1 species